UACGUAGGGGGCAAGCGUUGUCCGGAUUUAUUGGGCGUAAAGAGCGUGUAGGCGGCCAGACAGGUCCGUUGUGAAAACUCGAGGCUCAACCUCGAGACGUCGAUGGAAACCGUCUGGCUAGAGUCCGGAAGAGGAGAGUGGAAUUCCUGGUGUAGCGGUGAAAUGCGCAGAGUAUCAGGAAGAACACCCGUGGCGAAGGCGGCCUGCUGGGCAGUAGCUGACGCUGAGGCGCGACAGCGUGGGGAGCAAACAGGG
rnacentral:rRNA from 1 species